rnacentral:rRNA from 1 species
GGUGAACGCUGGCGGCGUGCUUAAGACAUGCAAGUCGAACGGCAGUCUUCGGACUGUAGUGGCGCACGGGUGAGUAACGCGUAACUGACCUACCCCAAAGUCGCGGAUAACGAUUCGAAAGAAUCGCUAAUACGUGAUGUGCUGUCAGAUUGUGUUCUGCCAGUAAAGAUUGAUUGCUUUGGGUUGGGGUUGCGUUCCAUCAGCUAGUUGGUGGGGUAAAGGCCCACCAAGGCGACGACGGAUAGCCGGCCCGAGAGGGUGGCCGGCCACAGGGGCACUGGGGCGCGGGUCCCAAUACUACGGUGGGAGGGAGUUAGGAAUCUUCCACAAUGGGCGCAAGCCUGAUGGGGCGACGCCGCGUGGGGGAUGAAGGUCUUCGGAUCGUAAACCUCUGAAUCAGGGACGAAAGACACUUCGGUGGGAUGACGGUACCUGAGUAAUAGCACCGGCUAACUCCGUGCCAGCCGCCGCCGUAAAAC